UACAUAGGGUGCAAGUGUUGUCCGGAUUUAUUGGGCGUAAAGAGCUCGUAGGCGGCACGGUAAGUCAGAAGUUAAAACGCAGAGCUCAACUCUGCGUCGCUUUUGAUACUGCCGAGCUUGAGUAUGGCAGGGGAGAUUGGAAUUCCACGUGUAGCGGUGAAAUGCGCAGAUAUGUGGAGGAACACCAGUGGCGAAGGCGAAUCUCUGGGCCAUUACUGACGCUGAGGAGCGAAAGCGUGGGGAGCGAACAGG
rnacentral:rRNA from 1 species